rnacentral:rRNA from 1 species
UACGAAGGGGGCUAGCGUUGCUCGGAAUCACUGGGCGUAAAGGGUGCGUAGGCGGGUCUUUAAGUCGGGGGUGAAAUCCUGGAGCUCAACUCCAGAACUGCCUUUGAUACUGAGGAUCUUGAGUUCGGGAGAGGUGAGUGGAACUGCGAGUGUAGAGGUGAAAUUCGUAGAUAUUCGCAAGAACACCAGUGGCGAAGGCGGCUCACUGGCCCGAUACUGACGCUGAGGUGCGAAAGCGUGGGGAGCAAACAGG